rnacentral:rRNA from 1 species
GACGAACGCUGGCGGCGUGCUUAACACAUGCAAGUCGAACGCUGAAGCCCAGCUUUUGUUGGGUGGAUGAGUGGCGAACGGGUGAGUAACACGUGAGUAACCUGCCCCCUUCUUUGGGAUAACGCCCGGAAACGGGUGCUAAUACUGGAUAUUCACUGAUCUUCGCAUGGGGGUUGGUGGAAAGGGUUUUUUCUGGUGGGGGAUGGGCUCGCGGCCUAUCAGCUUGUUGGUGGGGUGAUGGCCUACCAAGGCUUUGACGGGUAGCCGGCCUGAGAGGGUGACCGGUCACAUUGGGACUGAGAUACGGCCCAGACUCCUACGGGAGGCAGCAGUGGGGAAUAUUGCACAAUGGGCGAAAGCCUGAUGCAGCGACGCCGCGUGAGGGAUGGAGGCCUUCGGGUUGUAAACCUCUUUCGCUCAUGGUCAAGCCGCAGCUUUGGGUUGUGGUGAGGGUAGUGGGUAAAAAAGCGCCGGCUAACUACGUGCCAGUAGCCGCGGUAAUACGUAUGGCGCGAGCGUUUUUCCGGAAUUAUUGGGCGUAAAGGGGCUUGUAGGCGGUUGGUCUCGUCUGCCGUGAAAUCCGCUGAUUUAACUGUGUGGUUGGUGUUGGGUUGUGGUUUGGUUGUUUGCUGUUGUGGAGAGUGGUUCUCCUGUUGUAUUGUUGGUAAUCCCCCUAUGUCCCUAAGAACACUGGUGGGGAUGGUGGGUGUGGUGUGCGUGUGUUGUGUGUUUAGAGCGCAGUCUGGUGUGUCUGACUGUAUUGUAUGUUGUGUUAGUUGGUGGGUAAUGUGGUGUGGGUGUGUGUGUGCCCGUGGGCUAAGAAUGCGAUAGACAUUGUGUCUUGUUGUGUUUUUUGUUUGUUAAUUUUUUUUUGCUACUUCUGUGGUGCUGGUUUGAUGAGCGUGUGGUUGUGUGCCAUGUGUGUGUGCCUGCUCUUCUGUGUUGUGUUGGAUGUGUGCACUGAAGGAGGUGGCAGAUGAAUGGUUGUUGGUGCUUGUGUAUAUUUGUUUGUUGUGUGUGUGUGGGCU